rnacentral:tRNA from 1 species
GCGGGAGUGGCGGAAUUGGCAGACGCAGCGGACUCAAAAUCCGCCGUCCUUACGGAUUUGUGGGUUCGACCCCCACCUCCCGCACCA